UAAAGACCGGCCUGUGUCUGAACAGCACCGGGACGUGUGAGAUUCACGCCUGGUGUCCCAUCGAACACAGCACACGACCCACAGAGCCCCUCCUGAGCCAGGCCGAAAACUUCACCGUCUACAUCAAGAACUUCAUCAGGUUCCCAAAGUUUGAAUUCUCAAAAUCCAACGUCCUUGAAACGUCUGACGAUGGCUACCUGAAAAGAUGCAGCUACGACAGAGAGGAGCACCUGUACUGCCC